GCUCGCUAAGUUAAUAUCAACUGUUACAACUGAUGUGAUAUUAUAUGACCUAACCUAACACAUGCGGCGAGUAGGUUGGAUGUAAGAUAGCAACAUGUUGCCUCAAUGCUCUGACAACUAUUAACAAAUAGUUGUCAUAAAGUUAGGUAACGAGAGAAAACAUAGUGUAGUUCAUGCUGGAUGAAGGAGGGAACCUUCCACAUAUAUAAGGCUCUAUAGACGAGAAUAUCCAAGACAAGGAAAAUUUGCAAGGAUGGAGGAUGGAAAAAAGGAAGAAGAACAAUCAAAUUACAUUAGAUGGGUGAAGAGAGACCCAGUGUUCAAAAUGAAGGUAAAUUGUACCCCCAACAUUUUUUCUCAUUUCAUCUAGCUAGCACCCUGCAAAAAUCGCAUAGCUAGAGUAAACAAUCUAAAGAUAUGUGCAAUUGCAUCAAUUAUUGGCCACUCCAAAAGCACUCCAAAGGUUGCUGAAGGUAUACUAUAGCAGGUCUAUAAUGUGAAGUAUCCAUGGAAAGCUAUACCUCUCGGAAAUAAAACUUAUCUGAUUGAGUUUCCAUGCCCAAGCAUCCAAGAUAAGGUCUUAUCUGAAAAAGUAUUGUUUGGUUCGGAGAAUGCACUGGAGGUGAAGAAAUGGGAGGAGAAUAUGGGAGCUACUAGAAUACUCCAAAAGUUUUGGGUGAGGUUCAGAGGGUUGCAAAUGUAAUGUUGGGUAUGGGAUGAUGUAAAGGGAUGUUCUAGAGAGCUUUUGUGGACCCGAAAAGCUAGAGUGUGGUGAGAGUCACGACUACAUGAGAGCAUUAGUUGUUUGUGCUGGUCCCGAGCCUCUUCCUUUUGUUGUGAGGGUUGGUAUCAAUUGUAAGCUUCAUGAUGUGUAUAUCCAUGUGGAAAUCGGACAAAGUUUGGAUCCUUCGGAUGAAGGUCUAAAAUCUAGCGGUGUUGACAAUCUUAACUAUGGAAACAUGGAGUUUAGGCCUGGAUUAGCAUUAUCAUCAGAGAAUAGAUGGAAGGAGGUGCGUGUGAGGUGAGGGUAUGUUGUUUGCACUGGUAGCAGAGAGCCUAGAAGAUCAAUUCAAUCCACGUCUGUCACAAGUCCUCACAUCUCAAACAACCUCGAGAGUCACUACAACAAAAUAGGUCAUUUACGCCUCUUACAAGAAGGAUGCUGAAAGGAUCAGAUAAACUUUACUAGAAGUACCCCUGAAUGUUAGAAAAGGAGCAAUGAAGAGCACCCAGAGCUGGAAGGGGUUGCACAAGGAGAUACAACUAGAGGGACCAAAAGAAGACCACUAGAAUUGUUCCCCGAAAAUUUCUAGACAUGCGAUGAUCCAGGAGAUGCUGAUAGCAAGGAUGAUGACAUGGACACGUGACCUAGAUAGAUAAGAACUGAGCAUGUGCAUAGUGGCAUAUGUGAUCGCAUGAAUGUAUCAUGCCAUAUCUAGCUUGGAAACUAAUAAUAGUAUUGUCCAACUAUGAUGGGAGCACAUUUGUGGGCACUAUAAAUCUCAAGCCAUGCAGUACCAUUCAAUUGUGUUUUCAAUUAUAUAAGAUAAUCGACUCAUUUUGUAUCCUAUAAUUGUGUUAUGAAUUACGUUA